CCCGCUCAGAAACUUAAAUGAAUUGACGGGGCCCGCACAAGCGGUGGAGCAUGUGGUUUAAUUCGAUGAUACGCGAGGAACCUUACCUGGGCUCAAAUGUAUGUUUGACGUAUUCUGAAAGGGAUACUUCUUCGGACAAUAUACAAGGUGCUGCAUGGUUGUCGUCAGCUCGUGCCGUGAGGUGUCGGGUUAAGUCCCAUAACGAGCGCAACCCCUAUCAUUAGUUGCCAUCAGGUCAAGCUGGGGACUCUAAUGAAACUGCCUACGCAAGUAGUGAGGAAGGUGGGGAUGACGUCAAAUCAGCACGGCCCUUACGUCCAGGGCUACACACGUGCUACAAUGGCCGGUACAAAGGGCAGCUACCUGGUGACAGGAUGCUAAUCUCCAAAGUCGGUCUCAGUUCGGAUCGGAGUCUGCAACCCGACUCCGUGAAGUUGGAUUCGCUAGUAAUCGCGCAUCAGCCAUGGCGCGGUGAAUACGUUCCCGGGCCUU
rnacentral:rRNA from 1 species